rnacentral:rRNA from 2 species
CGCAAGCCUGAUCCAGCCAUGCCGCGUGAGUGAUGAAGGCCCUAGGGUUGUAAAGCUCUUUCACCGGUGAAGAUAAUGACGGUAACCGGAGAAGAAGCCCCGGCUAACUUCGUGCCAGCAGCCGCGGUAAUACGAAGGGGGCUAGCGUUGUUCGGAAUUACUGGGCGUAAAGCGCACGUAGGCGGAUCGUUAAGUGAGGGGUGAAAUCCCAGGGCUCAACCCUGGAACUGCCUUUCAUACUGGCGAUCUUGAGUUCGAGAGAGGUGAGUGGAAUUCCGAGUGUAGAGGUGAAAUUCGUAGAUAUUCGGAGGAACACCAGUGGCGAAGGCGGCUCACUGGCUCGAUACUGACGCUGAGGUGCGAAAGCGUGGGGAGCA